rfam:Candidatus Kaiserbacteria bacterium RIFCSPLOWO2_01_FTLL_50_24 rifcsplowo2_01_scaffold_6139, whole genome shotgun sequence.
CCCCUCAUAGCUUAAUGGUAAAGCACCGGUCUCUUAAACCGGCUACCCAGGUCCGAUUCCUGGUGGGGGGA